AUUGAACGCUGGCGGCAUGCCUUACACAUGCAAGUCGAACGGUAACAGGUCUUCGGAUGCUGACGAGUGGCGAACGGGUGAGUAAUACAUCGGAACGUGCCUAGUAGUGGGGGAUAACUACUCGAAAGAGUGGCUAAUACCGCAUGAGAUCUACGGAUGAAAGCAGGGGAUCGCAAGACCUUGUGCUACUAGAGCGGCCGAUGGCAGAUUAGGUAGUUGGUGGGAUAAAAGCUUACCAAGCCGACGAUCUGUAGCUGGUCUGAGAGGACGAUCAGCCACGCUGGGACUGAGACACGGGCCAGACUCCUACGGGAGGCAGCAGUGGGGAAUUUUGGACAAGGGGCGCAAGCCUGAUCCAGCAAUGCCGCGUGCAGGAUGAAGGCCUUCGGGUUGUAAACUGCUUUUGUACGGAACGAAAAGCCCCGGGUUAAUACCCUGGGGUCAUGACGGUACCGUAAGAAUAAGCACCGGCUAACUACGUGCCAGCCGCCGCCGUAA
rnacentral:rRNA from 1 species